rnacentral:rRNA from 1 species
GACGGGGGAUGCAAGUGUUAUCCGGAAUCACUGGGCGUAAAGCGUCUGCAGGUGGUUUCCUAAGUCCACUGUUAAACCUUGAGGCUCAACUUCAAAUCUGCAUUGGAAACUAGGAGACUUGAGUAUAGUAGGGGUAGAGGGAAUUUCCAGUGGAGCGGUGAAAUGCGUAGAUAUUGGAAAGAACACCAAUGGCGAAGGCAGCACUCUGGGACGUGACUGACGCUGAGACGCGAAAGCGUGGGGAGCAACAGG